AGUGAACGCUGGCGGUAGGCCUAACACAUGCAAGUCGAACGGCAGCACAGUAAGAGCUUGCUCUUACGGGUGGCGAGUGGCGGACGGGUGAGGAAUACAUCGGAAUCUACUUUUUCGUGGGGGAUAACGUAGGGAAACUUACGCUAAUACCGCAUACGACCUACGGGUGAAAGAAGGGGAUCUUCGGACCUUGCGCGAUUGAAGGAGCCGAUGUCGGAUUAGCUAGUUGGCGGGGUAAAGGCCCACCAAGGCGACGAUCCGUAGCUGGUCUGAGAGGAUGAUCAGCCACACUGGAACUGAGACACGGUCCAGACUCCUACGGGAGGCAGCAGUGGGGAAUAUUGGGCAAUGGGCGCAAGCCUGAUCCAGCCAUACCGCGUGGGUGAAGAAGGCCUUCGGGUUGUAAAGCCCUUUUGUUGGGAAAGAAAAGCAGCAGGUUAAUACCCCGCUGUUCUGACGGUACCCAAAGAAUAAGCACCGGCUAACUUCGUG
rnacentral:rRNA from 1 species